GAUGAACGCUGGCGGCGUGCCUAAUACAUGCAAGUCGAGCGAACAGACGAGGAGCUUGCUCCUCUGACGUUAGCGGCGGACGGGUGAGUAACACGUGGAUAACCUACCUAUAAGACUGGGAUAACUUCGGGAAACCGGAGCUAAUACCGGAUAAUAUAUUGAACCGCAUGGUUCAAUAGUGAAAGACGGUUUUGUUGUCACUUAUAGAUGGAUCCGCGCCGCAUUAGCUAGUUGGUAAGGUAACGGCUUACCAAGGCGACGAUGCGUAGCCGACCUGAGAGGGUGUUCGGCCACACUGGAACUGAGACACGGUCCAGACUCCUACGGGAGGCAGCAGUAGGGAAUCUUCCGCAAUGGGCGAAAGCCUGACGGAGCAACGCCGCGUGAGUGAUGAAGGUCUUCGGAUCGUAAAACUCUGUUAUUAGGGAAGAACAAAUGUGUAAGUAACUAUGCACGUCUUGACGGUACCUAAUCAGAAAGCCACGGCUAACUACGUG
rnacentral:rRNA from 1 species